GGGCGAUUAGCUCAGCGGGAGAGCACUACCUUCACACGGUAGGGGUCACUGGUUCGAUCCCAGUAUCGCCCACCA
rnacentral:tRNA from 1 species